rnacentral:lncRNA from 1 species
CGUCGCCGCCGCCGCCGGACGGGCGGGUCGGGUACGGGCCGCGGCCAAGGACUUGGAUCUUGGCAAUUGGUGCUUUGGGGCCCAAACUUUUUUUUGGACCAACUUCAUUGGGCUUUUAAUUUUUGGCCCAACAGAAUUAUUUUCUUGGCCCAACAGAAUUUAAUUCCCAAGCCCAGCCCACUUCAGCAGCAACCCAGCCCACACAUCAACAUGCAGCAGCAGAAAAAAGAAGCAGCAGCAGAAGAACGCAUGCUACGACUUCUGCAUGCGUAUUCAAUUUUGCAGCUAAGUUUUCUUCAAUGGCUGCGCCCACCGGCCACCUCUUCAACGUUUACAGCUUCCUGCCACCGGAGUUGAAUUCAAUGAAUUGAAUUCAUACUCACCACAUGCCUAUAAAUAGGCCUAUGGAGAGCAUGCUGAACACAGACGAACAACACCAACAAAUACUGCAUUCUGCCAUUCCUACACACUCACUCUCUGCAAACACUUGUGCUCAGUUAUUGAUCCUAUUAAGUUCGCCGGAGCUCGCCGGAUUGUGGUGCUACAUCCGACGAGACGUAGUCGUUUUACCUUUGGGGAAGAUACGCCAAACCGAAGAGCACUACCGGGGC